UACAGAGGUCUCGAGCGUUAGGCGGAAUCACUGGGCUUAAAGCGUGUGUAGGUGGAUCGUUAAGUACCUUGUGAAAUCCCACGGCUUAACCGUGGAACUGCUUGGUAUACUGGCGGUCUUGAGUCAGCUAGGGGCUACCGGAACAAAUGGUGGAGCGGUGAAAUGCGUAGAUAUCUGGAGGAACACCGGUGGCGAAAGCGGCUCACUGGACCGUCUCUGACGCUGAGGUGCGAAAGCUAGGGUAGCAAACGGG
rnacentral:rRNA from 1 species